rnacentral:lncRNA from 1 species
AGCUCCCUCCUCGAUCACAUCGCCUAUGCCUUGUCUCAAGGCCUGACACCUUGCUGUCGUCGUUGCAUCAAAAUAGCAGGACUCAUCCUCUGUUGACUCGCCAUGGCCUAUAAAAAAGAGCAAAGAAUGAAAAUAGAGCAGGAAAGGCAAGAACGAAAGCAGAAACAGUGGAAAAAUCUAAUGUGUUAUUCGGCUAUAAAAGCCCCAACCAAUGUAAUAUUUAAACAUGAAAAAUAUAUAUAAAAAAAUACAGAGAAUAAUUAAUCAUAUUUUCAAGAGAUUAUUUGUUUCUUUAUUUUUUAUUUUUAUUUUUUAGGCAUAAAAAUACAAAAAAAAAAAGAAAACUUACCAGUACGUUUCGAAUCCCAUCGCAGCAAGUGGAGGAGGUCAUCAUUCCCGAUGAUAAACAAUUCUCUUCGGUAAAACGGAAGAGAAACCGAAGGGAUUCUUUUGGGUUUUUCUCUUUUUGGUCGAGUUUUUGCGAAAAUAGCCCCAGAUCAGGGCUUUACGCGUCGAAGUGCUUAGGGUUUUUGGUGAACUCUGG